UAGGGAAUAUUGCACAAUGGAGGAAACUCUGAUGCAGCGACGCCGCGUGAGUGAUGAAGGCUUUCGGGUCGUAAAGCUCUGUCGCAGGGGAAUAACACAAUGAAUGUACCCUGUAAGAAAGGAUCGGCUAACUUCGUGCCAGCAGCCGCGGUAAGACGAGGGAUCCUAGCGUUGUUCGGAAUUAUUGGGCGUAAAGCGGAUGUAGGUGGCUUUGUAAGUCAGGUGUGAAAGCCUAGGGCUCAACCCUAGAAGUGCAUCUGAUACUGCGAAGCUUGAGUGUGGGAGAGGAUAGUAGAAUUCCUGGUGUAGUGGUGAAAUACGUAGAUAUCAGGAGGAAUACCGGAGGCGAAGGCGGCUAUCUGGCCCAACACUGACACUGAGAUCCGAAAGCGUGGGGAGCAAACAGGAUUAGAUACCCCGGUAGUCCC
rnacentral:rRNA from 1 species